UAUCAAAAACAUGUCUUAAUGGUGAAGGUAUAUUAAGUCAGGCCUGCCCAAUGAUUAAUUUAAUGGCUGCAGUAAUUUAACUGUACAAAGGUAGCAUAAUAAUUAGUUUUUUAAUUGAGGACUUGAAUGAAAGGUUUUACGAAAUAUAAGCUUUAUUGUGAUAAUAUAUAUAAUUUUAUUUUUUAGUAAAAAAGCUAAAAUUUACAUAUAAGACGAGAAGACCCUAUAGAUUUUUAUAGUUAUAAUAAUAAUUAUAAUUAGAAUUUAAUUUAUUUAUUUAUUAGAGCUAUUUGAUUGGGGUGAUAGUAAAAUUUAAAUAAUUUUUAUAUUAUGUUUACAUUUAUUUAUGAAUAAUUGAUCCAAUUUUAUGAUAAUUAGAUUUAAUUACCUUAGGGAUAACAGCAUAAUUUACUUGGAAAGUUCUUAUUGAUAAGUGAGAUUAUGACCUCGAUGUUGGAUUAAGAUUAAUUUUAGGCGCAGAAGUUUUUGGAUUAAGUCUGUUCGACUUAUAAAAUCUUACAUGAUCUGAGCUCA
rnacentral:rRNA from 1 species